UACAGAGGGUGCAAACGUUGCUCGGAUUUACUGGGCGUAAAGCGCGUGUAGGCGGACUCGCAAGUCGGUUGUGAAAUCCCUGGGCUCAACCUAGGAACUGCAUCCGAAACUGCUUGUCUUGAGUAAUGGAGAGGGUGGCGGAAUUCCCGGUGUAGAGGUGAAAUUCGUAGAUAUCGGGAGGAACAUCAGUGGCGAAGGCGGCCACCUGGACAUUUACUGACGCUGAGACGCGAAAGUGUGGGGAUCAAACAGG
rnacentral:rRNA from 1 species